rnacentral:tRNA from 2 species
GCCCGGCUAGCUCAGUCGGUUGAGCAUGAGACUCUUAAUGUCAGGGUUGUGGGUUCGAGUCCCACGUUGGGCG